CAGCAUCAAUUAAUCAAUUACAUGGUUAUUAGCUUACAAUUAUUGUAGUUAGGCUUAAAUUAUAUUUUAUCGUGAAAAUAAUUUUAUUUAAGAAAGUGAUAAUUUGUUUGUUAUCAGCAUAUGGUCCAAUUGCUUCGUACAGGUUGUCUAGAAUUUGGUUGUCUUUUCUGGCAUCAAUGCAAAUUUGUCAGUAGAUGAUUAUGUGCUU